CCACUGGAAACGGUGGCUAAUACCGCAUAACGUCGCAAGACCAAAGAGGGGGACCUUCGGGCCUCUCACUAUCGGAUGAACCCAGAUGGGAUUAGCUAGUAGGUGGGGUAACGGCUCACCUAGGCGACGAUCCCUAGCUGGUCUGAGAGGAUGACCAGCCACACUGGAACUGAGACACGGUCCAGACUCCUACGGGAGGCAGCAGUGGGGAAUAUUGCACAAUGGGCGCAAGCCUGAUGCAGCCAUGCCGCGUGUAUGAAGAAGGCCUUCGGGUUGUAAAGUACUUUCAGCGGGGAGG
rnacentral:rRNA from 1 species